UCUUUUAAUUGAAGGCUUGUAUGAAUGGUUGGACGAGAUAUUAACUGUCUCAAUUUAAAUUUUAGAACUUUAUAUUUUAGUAAAAAAGCUAAAAUAUUAUUAAAAGACGAGAAGACCCUAUAGAUCUUUAUAGUUUAUAUAUAUUAAUUUUAUAUAGAAUAUUUCAAAAUUAAUAUAUUAAACUAUUUUAUUGGGGUGAUAAUAAGAUUUAACAAACUCUUAUAUAUUUAUACAUAAAUUAAUGGUUAAUUGAUCCUUUAUUAGUGAUUAUUAGAUUAAGUUACCUUAGGGAUAACAGCGUAAUUUUUUUAGAGAGUUCAUAUCGAUAAAAAAGAUUGC
rnacentral:rRNA from 1 species